CUGAAGCUCAAGCGGAGCCCGCUGGCCGCAGGGGCCGCACCACGCCCCAGACCCUGGAGUUUCCGGGUGCGCAGACCCUUGCCAUCAGCAGAGGCUGCCGCUGCGCGUCCCCUAGGCGCGGAAGAGGCGGCUGGUGGUCCCUGACGGCAAGGUUUUAUACAUUACGAAUAAAGCUGGCACGUUUCCAUUUCUCCUGGGCAAAUAUUUAGAAGAAAAGUUGCUGGGUAAUUGGGGUCCUCUCUUUGCAGAAGCACUGAGACCACAGAGGCAAGAGCUGGGGAAGGAAAACUGCCCAUGAGAUGAGAUGUGCCUCUCAGCUUCCAAAAUCGGGGAGGGUUGCAAAGGGAUGACACCAUCCACACCAGAACUGCAUGAAUGGCAUCAGGAAUGAUCAGAGACCAUAAAUUCCAGUGAGACCAAUAACACCAUUUCUGGUCCUGCAUGCUCUUCCAAACUUUGCCACUAACCCCUUCAAGAGAUGCCCCCCAUGGAAUCCAGCCAUCAUGCUGUGAGGAAUCCAAGCAGCUACAUAGAAAGGCCACAACUAGAUAUUCCAGCUGUAGUCAGCUGAAGCUCCAGCCAACAGCCAACAUCAACCACCACACGUGAAAACGAGCAAGCCUUCAGAUGAUUCCGACUCCCAACCUCCAAGCCACCUCAGCUGAAGCCAAGUAGAGCAGAGACUAGCUGUCCCCCAAUGCUCUAAUAUGCAGAUUCAUAAUUAAAAAGAAUGUUAUUGUUCUAAGCCAUGAAGUUUUGGGGUGGUUUGUCAUGCAGCAACUGGAACUGCC
rnacentral:lncRNA from 10 species